rnacentral:rRNA from 1 species
GGGUCAGUAGGUUGGUCGUGCCACCGGUACGUACUGGUCUCACUGAUUCCUCCUUCCUGAAGAACCGUAAUGCCAUUAAUUUGGUGUUGCGGGGAAACAGGACUGUUACUAUGAAAAAAUUAGAGUGUUUAAAGCAAGCUAACGCUUGAAUACAUUAGCAUGGAAUAAUGAAAUAGGACGAUCGAUCCUAUUUUGUUGGUUUCUAGGAUUGACGUA